CUACCAGUCAAUGUCUAAUGCUCCCAAAUUGUUCCCUUGUUCUCCGUUGAGUCCAUAAAUCCUCCCACUUCCUCAGGACACUGAUCUCACGCAUCUGUUUGGACCAAAGCGAUGUGACCGAACUUACUUGUGGUGAUGUCUCAAUGUGCUAACUCAUCCAUCCUCUAAAUGGAAAGACUAAAGGCAGAAUGUGGGGAACGGGGCCAUGUCACAGCACUUCUGUCACCAUCGGGUACCCUUAUUUUCAUUGCUCUUAUCCCAAUCUGUAAUUCCGUAACUGUAUAAUUAACUGACUUCUUUCUUUCAAUUAGAUGACAAGCUCCAUGAGGGUAGGGCCCGUGGCCCUUUGCCUUACUCAGCCCAAAGCACCAUGACUGGAACAAAUACCUGUGAAUGAAUGAACGAACAAAUGAAUGAACUGAAUUUUCAAAUACAGGUUUCUGCAAUGCUUUCUGUUCUGUAUGCACGGGAUGCAGCCAGCAAUGCCAGCAUUUUUGUUCCUCUGAAUUCUUGUCGUUGGACACUGCCAGGAUUUAGGGUGGGGUCAGCCCGGGGCCAUUUUAGCCCCAAUAAAGAUCUGUUUUAUUCAAGGC
rnacentral:lncRNA from 1 species